rnacentral:lncRNA from 13 species
AGCGGCACACCUCCAGGGGGCACCAUCCGCACUGUAGUAUCUGAACAGUGCCCAGCCUACACAGCUCUACAGCACAGAUGCCACUGAGGGCUGAGUGUUGGCAGGAGUAUUGGCUUUGGAGCAAAGCGUAUUAUGGAUGAUCAGCUCUCUCGGAUGAAAGUAGAAGAGACGGUAGACCAAGUCCUAAACAGUGACACCCAAGUCAUUCUCUUCAAGUGGGAAGGUCAGGUGGCCCUCCUUCAUCUUACAGACAUACUAGAUCCUCAUCCACCAUCCUCAGACUUCCUGCAGAAUAGGGCUGGGACCAGGAUGAGGAGGAAGACCACAGAGGUGAGGUACCAUUUUCCUCACGUCGUAUCAAGUGUACACACCAUCAACGUGAGUUAUUGCUGUGGAUGUUGACUGUGAUCCCUACACCAAAGCAGUAUUUGUUACCCUCUUCCCAUCUUCCCAUACUGGACUCUUUGGAAACAGUAAUGAAGUGUAGCUUGCACCUAGGUAGUAGAGAGUAGCUACAUAAGUUAUUUGGAAUUCUUUUGACUGGGAGGCCUGACUUUUUUUUCCCAUUUAUUUUAUUUUUUUGUUUUAUUUUAAGUUGACAAAUAAUAAUGGUAUGAAAUGAUUAAAUCUGGGUAAUUAGCAUAGCCACCUGAACUAUUUAUCAUUUCUUUGUUGUGAUAACAUUUAAAAUCCUCUUUUAGCUAUUUAGAAAUAUGCAAUGCACUCUUAUUAACUAUAAUCAUCUUGCUGUGCAACAGAACAGAACUGAUUCCUCCUAUCUAACUGUAACUUUGUUCCCAUUGAUCAAUGUCUCCCCUUUCUCUGUACACCCCUGCACUCACCAGACUCUGGUAACCAUCAUUCUAUGCUCUACUUUCAUGAGUUUAACUUUUGUAGAUUCCAUAUAUAAGUGAGACCAUACACUAUUUGUCUCUUUAUACUGGGCUUAUUUUACUCAGUGUAAUAUCCUCUAGGUUCAUUCAGGUUGUCAAAUGACAAAAUUUUCUGUGUAUUUUAAGGCUGAAUAAUAUUCAUGGUAUGUAGAUAUCACAUUAAAAAUUUCAUCUGUUGAUUGAUACUGAGUUUGUUUCCACUUCUUGGCGCUGGUGAAUAAUGCUGCAGUGAACGUGGGCAUACAGAUAUCUCUUUGGCACACUGACUUCAGUUCCUUUGAGUAUGUACCCCACAGUGGAAUUGCUAAAUCAUAUAUAUAGUGGUUCUACUUUUAUUUUUUUGUGGAACAUCCAUACUGUUUUCCAAAAUUGCUAUACUAGUUGAUAUUCCCACCAGCAGUAUAUAAGGCAUCCCUUUUCUCCACAGCCUCUGCAACACUUAAUCUUUCAAUCUUUUGAUAAUAGCCAUUUUCACAGGUGUGAGUUAUAUCUCACUGCAGUUUUAAUUUGCAUUUAUCUGAUGAUUAGAAAUCUUGAGCAUUUUUUUUUUUUGAGAUGGAGUUUCGCUCUUGUUACCCAGGCUGGAGUGCAAUGGCGCAAUCUCGGCUCACCGCAACCUCCGCCUCCUGGGUUCAGGCAAUUCUCCUGCCUCAGCCUCCUGAGUAGCUGGGAUUACAGGCACGCGCCACCAUGCCCAGCUAAUUUUUUGUAUCUUUAGUAGAGAUGGGGUUUCACCAUGUUGACCAGGAUGGUCUCGAUAUCUUGACCUCGUGAUCCACCCGCCUUGGCCUCCCAAAGUGCUGGGAUUACAGGCUUGAGCCACCGCGCCCGGCCGAGCAUUUUUUAUAUUAUGUAUGUCUUCUUUUGAGAAAUGUGUAUUCAAGUUCUUUGCCCAUUUUUAAAUAGGGUUAUUUAUUUUCUUGUUAUGAAGGUAGUAUUAAUUCCCUGUAUAUUUUGGACAUUAGCCCCUUUAUCUAAUAUAUGGUUUGAAAAUAUUCCAUUUAUUUAUUUAUGUUAGUAUGGGAUCUUGGAUAUUUAUUUUAUACUUUGGAUUAUAAUUCAGUACCUUAUUUUGUGGCUUGUUUGGUUUGGCCAUUGGGACUCUUUCAGCUGGCUCCUUUGCUUCUUUGAUAUAAGUAAGCAUUUCCUCAUUUUUUGGCACAAGAGGAUCCUUCAAGUUCAUAUUUUCUGCUCUGGCUUUAGAAUCAGCCAUUUCUCCAAAGAGCCCUGGUUCCUUCUGUUGGAGAACGGUAUUAGAAACCAAGAUUUGGGUGUUAGGUGCUCAUUGCUACUGGGGUAUUAUUGCAACUCAAUCUCUUACAUUGUCAUGCAGCAUCUGGAAAACUCUAUAAUACACUUGUGAAAGCAUGAGAAUAAAAAGGAAAAAUCAGAGUUUAGCA